rnacentral:tRNA from 1 species
GGGGGCGUAGCUCAGUUGGUUAGAGCGUCGGCUUGUCACGCCGAAGGUCGCGGGUUCGAGUCCCGUCGCUCCCGCCA